AUAUGGCCGUGAUGCAUAUCUGCAACAUACCGUUUGAAUUCAACUAUUUCAUAGUGUUUAUAAAGAAAGUGACAUGUGUUAGUGUGAUGUCAUAAUGCAACAAGGCUUUUUUUUAUUAGUAUGACCUGAUCCCACUCUACCAUGAGUUUUGACAACAUAAGUUUACUUUUCCCGCCAAUUUUGUGAAACAAGCACGAAUAAUGUCAGAAAAAGGAUUAACGCCUUCGCAAAUAGAAAGUUUUUUUAAUAGCGUGGAUAGCGAGGAUGAUCUCGACUUUUCUGCUGAUGACGAAAGCGAUUACUAUCCCAAUAAAGAAGAUUUUGAGACCUCAGAUGACGAAGUUUUGGAAAAUCAAGUUGAACUCCCUACCGACUUGAAUGUUCCAAGCAAGGAUGUCAACGAUGUUGCGACUUCUAGCAAAAAGGACCUAAGAAGGAAUUUGCUAUGGAGACAACGCAGUUUGAUUUUGAAUGAGAACCAACUUCAGCUGCUCACGAGCACUGCGUUACCUCCGGAACUAAUGGAGCUGUCCCAGCCUAUUCAAUUUUUUUCGUAUCUAUUUCCUAAAAAAGUUUUUGAGAAUAUUUCGAAUGAAACUAACCUUUACAUUCAUCAAAAGAGCCAAACGCAAAUAUUACUUUUACUCCUUUGGAUAUUCAACAGUUUGUUGGAAUUGUGUUGUAUAUGUCCAUUUCACGACUUCCAAAAUGUGCCC